CGCUGCCGCCGGGUCUCCGGCCUUGAGGGCUCGGGCUCGCAACGGCGGCGGCGGCGGCCGCAGGAAGAGGCAGCGGGGGGGGGGGGAGAGGAGGGCUUGGGCCCACGCUCCCCAGCCCCGGAGGAGCAGGCGGCGGCCGCGGACCGAGGGAUUCGCCGGGGCAGUCAGACAUCCCUGCCUUCCCCGCCUGGGAUCAUGACCCAGGCGGGGAUCGCCGUCGCCGCCGCCACCAGCGCGGCCGAGACCGCGCAGCCGGCGGAGUGUAGCCUGUCAACAAGGAAAAGGAAACAAAACUGAGACUGUUUAAAUCAGGUUAGAAGAUAAGCUUCAAUAGGUAAUCACCUCAAAAUUGUUGCUUAUAAACAGGGUCUUAAAUGAAGCUUGGAUCUUAACUGUAUCUCACCUGUGCUUGUCCAGCCCAGUAGUUCUCAAACUGGACUACUUGUUAGAAUUGCUUUCUAUGCCUUUAAAUGUUAAUGCCAAAGCUAUUUCCCUCAGAGAUUACUUUUGAUCUGGGUUGAAGGUUGACCACUGACAUAUCUUUAUUUUUUAUUUUUAACAGUACUGGGGAUUGCUACAUCCCCACUUCGCUUCCACUUCUUUUAAGACAAUCUCAUUAAGUUGCCUAGGCACACUUGCACUUGGAUCCUCCUGCCUCAGCCUUCUGUGGUCAUAGCCUUUAAAGUUCUCCAGCUGAUUCUACUCAGCAGCCAGGACUGAAAACUCUGAGUCUAGAACAGUGUCCAAACUGCUAGGCUUGUGUUUAAGCAAACAGGCCUUUAUUAUCUCACUUUUCCCUUCACUGCUUCCCACUGGGAAUCUUUGUACUCAC
rnacentral:lncRNA from 1 species